UUGAAGUUCAGGUAACACUGAAUGGAGGACCGAACCGACUUACGUUGAAAAGUGAGCGGAUGAACUGAGGGUAGCGGAGAAAUUCCAAUCGAACCUGGAGAUAGCUGGUUCUCUCCGAAAUAGCUUUAGGGCUAGCCUCAAGUGAUGAUUAUUGGAGGUAGAGCACUGUUUGGACGAGGGGCCCCUCUCGGGUUACCGAAUUCAGACAAACUCCGAAUGCCAAUUAAUUUAACUUGGGAGUCAGAACAUGGGUGAUAAGGUCCGUGUUCGAAAGGGAAACAGCCCAGACCACCAGCUAAGGUCCCAAAAUAUAUGUUAAGUGGAAAAGGAUGUGGCGUUGCCCAGACAACUAGGAUGUUGGCUUAGAAGCAGCCAUCAUUUAAAGAGUGCGUAAUAGCUCACUAGUCGAGUGACACUGCGCCGAAAAUGUACCGGGGCUAAACAUAUUACCGAAGCUGUGGAUUGUCCUUUGGACAAUGGUAGGAGAGCGUUCUAAGGGCGUUGAAGCAUGAUCGUAAGGACAUGUGGAGCGCUUAGAAGUGAGAAUGCCGGUGUGAGUAGCGAAAGACGGGUGAGAAUCCCGUCCACCGAUUGACUAAGGUUUCCAGAGGAAGGCUCGUCCGCUCUGGGUUAGUCGGGUCCUAAGCUGAGGCCGACAGGCGUAGGCGAUGGAUAACAGGUUGAUAUUCCUGUACCACCUAUA
rnacentral:rRNA from 1 species